CCUACGGGAGGCUGCAGUGAGGAAUAUUGGUCAAUGGGCGCGAGCCUGAACCAGCCAAGUAGCGUGAAGGAUGACUGCCCUACGGGUUGUAAACUUCUUUUAUAGGGGAAUAAAGUGAUGCACGUGUGCCUUUUUGUAUGUACCUUAUGAAUAAGGAUCGGCUAACUCCGUGCCAGCAGCCGCGGUAAUACGGAGGAUCCGAGCGUUAUCCGGAUUUAUUGGGGUUAAAGGGAGCGUAGGUGGGUUGUUAAGUCAGUUGUGAAAGUUUGCGGCUCAACCGUAAAAUUGCAGUUGAUACUGGCAGUCUUGAGUACAGUAGAGGUAGGCGGAAUGCGUGGUGUAGCGGUGAAAUGCUUAGAUAUCACGAAGAACUCCGAUUGCGAAGGCAGCUUACUGGACUGCCACUGACACUGAGGCUCGAAAGUGUGGGUAUCAAACAGGAUUAGAUACCCCAGUAGUC
rnacentral:rRNA from 1 species